rnacentral:rRNA from 1 species
UACGUAGGGCGCAAGCGUUGUCCGGAAUUAUUGGACGUAAAGAGCUCGUAGGCGGUUUGUCGCGUCUGCUGUGAAAACCUAAGGCUCAACCUUGGGCUUGCAGUGGGUACGGGCAGACUAGAGUGCGGUAGGGGUGACUGGAAUUCCUGGUGUAGCGGUGGAAUGCGCAGAUAUCAGGAGGAACACCGAUGGCGAAGGCAGGUCACUGGGCCGCAAACUGAC